GAUGAACGCUGGCGGCGUACCUAAUACAUGCAAGUCGAGCGAACAGACGAGGAGCUUGCUCCUCUGACGUUAGCGGCGGACGGGUGAGUAACACGUGGAUAACCUACCUAUAAGACUGGGAUAACUUCGGGAAACCGGAGCUAAUACCGGAUAAUAUAUUGAACCGCAUGGUUCAAUAGUGAAAGACGGUUUUGCUGUCACUUAUAGAUGGAUCCGCGCCGCAUUAGCUAGUUGGUAAGGUAACGGCUUACCAAGGCGACGAUGCGUAGCCGACCUGAGAGGGUGAUCGGCCACACUGGAACUGAGACACGGUCCGGACUCCUACGGGAGGCAGCAGUAGGGAAUCUUCCGCAAUGGGCGAAAGCCUGACGGAGCAACGCCGCGUGAGUGAUGAAGGUCUUCGGAUCGUAAAACUCUGUUAUUAGGGAAGAACAAAUGUGUAAGUAACUAUGCACGUCUUGACGGUACCUAAUCAGAAAGCCACGGCUAACUACGUG
rnacentral:rRNA from 1 species